rnacentral:rRNA from 1 species
AAUGCUCAGUACGGCGAGUGAGCGGCAACAGCUCAAUUUGAAAUCUGGCGGCCUCUGGGCCGUCCGAGUUGUAAUUUGAAGAGGAUGCUUUUGGCGAGGCGCCUUCCGAGUGCCCUGGAACGGGACGCCACAGAGGGUGAGAGCCCCGUAUGGUUGGACGCCGAGCCUCUGUAAAGCUCCUUCGACGAGUCGAGUAGUUUGGGAAUGCUGCUCAAAAUGGGAGGUAAACCCCUUCUAAAGCUAAAUACUGGCCAGAGACCGAUAGCGCACAAGUAGAGUGAUCGAAAGAUGAAAAGCACUUUGAAAAGAGAGUUAAACAGCACGUGAAAUUGUUGAAAGGGAAGCGCUUGCGACCAGACUUGUGCUCGUCGAAUCAGCCGCCGCUCGUCGGCGGCGCACUUCGGCGGGCUCAGGCCAGCAUCAGUUCGCUGCAGGGGGAGAAAGGCGAUGGGAAUGUGGCUCUUCGGAGUGUUAUAGCCCGCCGCGCAAUACCCCUCGGCGGACUGAGGACCGCGCAUCUGCAAGGAUGCU